AUUGAACGCUGGCGGCAGGCCUAACACAUGCAAGUCGAGCGAGCGGCGGACGGGUGAGUAAUGUCUGGGAAACUGCCUGAUGGAGGGGGCUAACUACUGGAAACGGUAGCUAAUACCGCGUACCCUUCGAUGUGCCCAGGUGGGGUUAGCUAGUAGGUGGGGUAACGGCUAACCUAGUCGACGAUCCCUAGCUGGUCUGAGAGGAUGACCAGCCACACUGGAACUGAGACACGGUCCAGACUCCUACGGGAGGCAGCAGUGGGGAAUAUUGGACAAUGGGCGCAAGCCUGAUGCAGCCAUGCCGCGUGUGUGAAGAAGGCCUUCGGGUUGUAAAGCACUUUCAGCGGGGAGGCGUUACCCGCAGAAUAAGCACCGGCUAACUCCGUGCCAGCAGCCGCGGUAAUAC
rnacentral:rRNA from 1 species